CUUCCGUUGUUUUUCUUCUCUCAUUCUCUCUCUCUCUCGCUCGCUCUACCACCCUCGCUCUCUUUCCACUGCACUCGCUCCUUGUAUCAGGUGAUCGGGUUAAUUGGGAACCCACCUGCACAUUGAUUGCAGGGUGGCGCUAGCCUGUAUAAAGCUAAGCCGAUGUCUUGUUGGAUUAAUUCCUCCCGAGCUUCUGGUACGAUACAGCAGUAAAUGCUGGCGUACUGCGACGGACUGAUCAGCAAGAGCCGAUUAUACGACAGCUACAGGUAUGCUCUCGCUUAACCUUGGAUUCCCUCCGAAUACUGGAAUUGGUGUUAAUAUCCUUUUCCGGCCUGUUGUAGCGCAGCAGUCUGUGUAAUUCUGCCAUUGCGGAGAGAGGUGUUCGUGGUAUCUCCACCAAUGAGAGUAUAGUGCCUCCGGUCCUGGGGGUUCACUGCUGUACUCACCUCUCCAUGUGAAGGAGGACGAGCCAGUGGCCCUGGGACCUCAGGUGGUGGGUCGUUUUCACACUUUCUUUUGUACAGCACUGGGUGGUCUGCAGUGAUUCUUUUGGUGUGAUUUUCUUUUGGUUCCACGGCUGCUGGUAAGUCCAAGUCCCACGAUUGUUUAUUUUUACUGUAGGACACUGUCAAUAAUGACGCUACAUCUUGACUUUUAAUAUUUUAUUUAUAAAAUAUUAUUUAUAAUAUUUUAUUUAUUUCUAUAAAUAAAACUGUUUUAAUAUUGGAAGCCAACCUGCCUCAGUGUGCAUCCUUGAAUCUGUGCGGUCUUCUUUUAUUCCUUUUAUUUAUUUUUCUUAAAUAUAUUUCCUGGGGGUGUAAUUCCCCUAGGUGGCGUUGUCAAGUUUAUUUAUUUUGUUCAUAACCCCGCCGAC